AUGGUGCUUUGCUUGGUCGCUCUUGCCACUGCUCCACAGAGAUGCCUCUUCCCCAGCCAGACAGCCUGAGGACUCCACUUGUAAGGAACAACUGAAACAGUGCAUUGGUGUCAUCUUCCCGGAUAUCACAUACUUCAAUCGGAAAGAAGUGCCCAACUCACACUUUGCAGGAGCACAAAGACCAGACCAG